UCGCCUGUUUUUCAAAAACAUCGCUGGUAAAUUCCAUUGUCAGUAAAAUCUGCCCAGUGAUUUAUUCAACGGCCGCAGUAUUCUGACUGUGCUAAGGUAGCAUAAUCAUUAGUUUUUUAAUUGAAAACUCGUAUGAACGACUUGACGAGAAAUCACCUGUCUCUAGAGUACUUCAACUUUCUACGGAAGUCAAAACGCUUCUGCUUUCCAAGAGGACGACAAGACCCUAUAAAACUUUACUUUAAACUUAAACCCUUCUCUAGAACCCUCCAAGAUUAAGAAAAAGGUUUUACUGGGGCGGUAACCUUUACCACAAACAAUUUUUACACUAACAUAAUGAAUGAAAUCCACAAACACCUCACGUAAUAAAGAACAAGUUACUUUAGGGAUAACAGCGCAAUAUCUUUUUAGAGCCCUCAUCGGCAAAGAUGUUUACGACCUCGAUGUUGAAUUGAAGAACCUGUAUGGAGCAGCCUUCGUACCAGGGAGUCUGUUCGACUUUUGAUCCUUUACAUGAUUUGAGUCCNAAACCGGA
rnacentral:rRNA from 1 species